AGCUUUGCACAGUGACAGUAUAGUAGCCAAUGAGGUUUAUCCAAGGUGCAAUUAUUGCUAAUUAAAAACUUUUCCUAAUUGUG
rnacentral:snRNA from 1 species